rnacentral:lncRNA from 1 species
GGGCAAAUUUUUUUUGGUUCUGAUGUUGUGAAAUAGCAGCUCGUCGAAGUACUAAGUCCCCUGCUCUGAAGGCUUUGCUCUUGACUCGGGAGUUGUAGUAGCGGGCUGCUUUCUGUUUGUAGGCUGCCAUCCGAACUUGAGCUAUUUUCUGCUUUUCUUCUAACAAGUCGAGAUUGGCCUUGAGAUCCUAUGAGUUGCACUGCUCAUCGAAUGCCACGACUCAUGCCGAUGGAAGCUUGAGUUCAAUCGGGAUAACAGCUUCUGUUCUGAAGGCUAAGGCAAAGGGGGUCUCCC